rnacentral:tRNA from 1 species
AUUUUGAUGGCUGAAUUAAUAAGCGAUAGAUUGUAAAUCUACUAAUGGUUGUAUAACCUCACUGUA